rnacentral:misc_RNA from 1 species
GCAAACUUGGUCAUUUAGAGGAAGUAAAAGUCGUAACAAGGUUUCCGUAGGUGAACCUGCGGAAGGAUCAUUACCGAAUCGUCAAACACGGGUUGUCGCUGGCCUCCCCGACGGGGGCAUGUGCACGCUCUGUUUACGCAUCCACUCACACCUGUGCACCCUCUGUAGUUUUGCGGUUUGGGAGAUGCCGUCUUCCUUCCGUGGCUCUACGUCUUUACACACACGCCGUAGCGAAGUCUCAUGGAAUGUUUUCUGCGUUUAACGCGAUACAAUACAACUUUCAGCAACGGAUCUCUUGGCUCUCGCAUCGAUGAAGAACGCAGC